rnacentral:rRNA from 1 species
UACGAAGGGGGCUAGCGUUGCUCGGAAUGACUGGGCGUAAAGGGCGCGUAGGCGGAUGGCACAGUCAGAUGUGAAAUUCCCGGGCUUAACCUGGGGGCUGCAUUUGAUACGUGUUGUCUUGAGUUCGGAAGAGGGUCGUGGAAUUCCCAGUGUAGAGGUGAAAUUCGUAGAUAUUGGGAAGAACACCGGUGGCGAAGGCGGCGACCUGGUCCGACACUGACGCUGAGGAACGAAAGCUAGGGGAGCAAACAGG